AUAUUUUUACAACAGUCAUAGAAGCAUAAAAACUAAACCCACCUACCUUGACUCUCACGGUGUCUUCAAUUUCCUUCAACAAACUUCUUUGGUUUUCCCACACCUUCACCCAUUGGCUGUCUUCAAGGGGCGACAUUGAGCUCCAAAGUUGAGAAAAUGGGGAAGACGGUGUUACAUAGGGGAGGAAAAAUGUUUAAAAAGGAGGGGGUGGUUGGAAAGCAUUGUGGCUGACAUUAUCACUCAUGGCUCUGACACGUACAGAGAAAAUUGGCAUUCACCAUUAGUUAUGCACAUGUGUUAUAACUUGUGGUUUAUAAUGAGAGAUCAUGAAGACGUUUCUAUUUGAGAUGAAGCUCCGGAAUGCAUAUGUUCCUUGGCACAGAAAUGCAUCUCCACUGGAUAUUGGAGGAGUUUUGGGCGAGAUGUGAUAUGCUUCUCUAAAAGAUCCAUCAUACAUUGAAAUAAUGGGGCUCUAAUAGGCGAGACUUAAGGAGAGCCUCAUUAUAUGAUGAUAUAUUGAGGUAAAUCCCUAAGAUGUACAUGUUAAGGCCUCAUAUGCUUUAAAGUCCAAUGGUGAUAUGGCUUGGGAAAUAUUUGGACCUGGCUUAACCGAUGUAUGUAUCUACCAUCAGUUCAAAUAUACCUUAAUU
rnacentral:lncRNA from 1 species